UUUUCACAUUCUGAGAGAUACAGGGAUCUCUUAGGAUAUGUACAUUUCUGCCAGGCUGGUUACACUACCUUCCAGCAGUACCUCUUAGUCCACACUCUUAGCAGACCUGAGUCUUCCGAAGCUACCCAAGCUACCCAUAUGCCCAGCAUGAGCAUGCUCACAGGCCCUGUCUAUGUGGUCACCAGCUAUUUCCAACCCAACACAGGCCAUGUAAAAGCAGCAACCAGGAGAGGGGAAAAGAUUUCUGGAUGGGUUACCCAGUGACUGCCCAGGCUGAAGAUAGUGACAAGCAAGCAAGAUGACAACAUGCUCUUCUAAGAACUUCUUGUAGCAGGUUGUCUGUGGGUGGAUUGAAGGUUGUGUUUGCCUCAAUGUACCUAUGUGCACCACAUACAUGCCUGGUGCCAGUGAAGAACAGAAGAAGCCACUGGAUACUGUGGAAAUGGAGUUACAGGGGAUGGCCAGCUAGGAGCCAAGGAAUCAGAGUGAUUUUAUCUAUGGCUUAAAGAUAUUUAAGGACCCUCUAUGUCCUCAAGUAGGAAGUCCUUUACCCUGGGGUCAGUCCAUGCAAGGGAAGGAUUCAAGUUAUACAAAUACCAGGCAUAUGUGAUCUGUAAACUCUUGCAACGUCUACCGUCACAGCAAACACCCUAAGUGAACAAGUCCUAAGCUUUGAAAAGGAUGCAACGCAUAAGAUGAAAGAAUGCUGCGAUAGGGUUAAGAGAAAAAGGUAGCCAACUCCUGUUUGCAUUUGAAUCUGGCAUAGGAUCUUGAGCAAAUGACAGAACUUCUCUAUACAUAUGUUCCCUACCUCUGACAUAGAAGGUAGUACCGUCACUUGUCCUGCCUAUCAUUUUUUAUAAAUGCAUGUGAGUUUCAAGCUGUUUGACAUAAUUUAAAGCGACCCCCUACCCAUCUUUUAAUGUUCAAAGAAGACUGCCAAUCAUGCUUGGUACCAUAGAUACCUAACAGCUAUAGUUUUGUUGUUAUUACUAUUAUUAUGGCCCAUAGUGUUGGAAUCUAUUCCAACCCUGUGCUAAGCUAGUUUACACAUAUGGACUCUUCAUUCUGUGCUGUUUGAUAACACAAGCCUACUCCAUCCUGAAGUCAGAAGGACAGUUAAAGAAUCUGAUAUCUCUCAAAGAGGUUUCCUAAGAUGUCCUGAUUGUCCAUCUUCUCCCUGCCACAGUACAAAAUAAGUCCUCUGACACUCGUGUUUUCUAAGCUAUCAGUCUCAUGGAAAGAGCUGUUGAAAUAACAAUGUGGGCAAAGAAGUGUCUUGGUGACCUGUCCCAACACCCCAGCCAGUCCUUUACCCUCCUCAUCCAUCUUUGCUCCUCAAAGACCCUGAGACAGGGGAACAUGGCACAUCCUCUGACCAGCAGGAGAUUGCAGUUAGACAACUAGAACCAGGGUGAACUUGUGGGAGUAUUGCUUUCCUCUUAACUGCUCCGGAGAUGUUGAUGACAGCUCAAAUGCUACCAACUCCACCGCCAUCAUCUCAAGGGGAGCCAGAUCUGCAGGAGUCUCCAAUGAUGGAGAUUUGUCGCCCCUUUGAGGCACAGGGAAGUCAAGCUCUUCAAUUAUCGGUUCAGCUGUAAGAGCAAGGCUCCCUAGUUCACCUAACCUGUUUUAUUGACUUUAGUUUGCUUUCUGUGUAGUUUGUGAUUUCAACAACUUGAAUGAAGCACAAACAACCAUAAAGAGAAUGAACCUUCUGUGGUGAUUCAAUUCUUCCAGUCAGUGGAAGACUGUGUCUCAAGCAUGCUUUUGACAUGAAAACCAAUCAAUUAAGGGCCAUCCCUUUACUAUCUGAUUUGAGCCCACCUUACCUUCCCCUACUCCCUGAGAAUUCAAUUAUUUUCUGUUUUAGUCAUCCUAGGGUAGAUUUCAGGCAGCUCAAGAUGACCACUGUGCUCAAACCACACACCCGAAAAUAUGUGACAGGCCCAUCUUAAACUCAUGAUACUGCCUGUCUUUUCUUUCUCAUGGAAACUAACAUGAAAAGCUGUGGAGACUCGUGCUCUCUCCCCAUUCCCAUCUUUAGACACCUGACCAAAAUAUGGUAAUUCCCCCUUGUAGUCCUGUACAGACUAUGAUAGCCUCUUUUCAGGGCUCUGUGUCUCGUGACUGUGUUGUACUCUUUCUCUUGCAUCUCCUUUUGCAGGGGCAUAUCUUUUUAAUCUUGAGAAAAAGCACAAAAUAUUAACUUGGUUGAGCAUUCAAGUAGUGAGAAUGACCCCAGAGCUUGGGGGACAGAGCAGUUGAUGCCCAGUUCCAUGUAGAACUGAAUCUGACUAUCUUUCUGGAGAGCCAAUGAGGAAGAGCCUGUCAUACACUGUACCCCAGCCUUCUAAUUCUCAGAGUUUAUUCUAAGAAAGGAAAAAGUUGAACAUUGAUACGUAUGUCUGAGAAGGGUAUAUCGCUGUUUUAAUUACAAUUAUAAAGGUUUAGAAUUUGGUACUAUGUCUAAUGAUUAGGGAAAAGUAUCUCAUGUAAUAACAUACUCAACUGCCAUUAAAACUAUGUUUGAAAGAAAUGCUUUGUUCUAUGGGAAUGUAUUUAGUAUAUGAUUUCAAGCUAUGUCUUAAGGUUGGACAACAAUGUAUUUUAAAUAAUCCCAUCCAGCUCAGUCUCAGUCUACAUGUAGUUCUAAGAAAAUACCUCAGAAAAAUAAAUCAACAUAGAAAAAUCAGUUCUAUUUGUAUCCACUUACAAUAGAUAAUAUGAAAAGGAAAUUUAGAAAACAAUACCAUUUGUUAGCAUGCCAAAAGAAUAAAAUACUUACAAAUAAAUAUAACCAAGGAGGUGAAAACAGGUGUAUCAAAAACUUUAAAAUAUAAAUACAUUUUAAAACAGGAGGAUGUGGGGAUGUCUUAAAGUACUUGUUGCAUAAGCACGAGGACCUGAGUUCCCUGCCCUACAGCAUGUAUAAAUGCCAGCCAUGGUGGUAGGUGUUUAUAAUUCCAGUGCUAGGAGGCAGCUGACAAGAGAAGCCUGGGACUUAUUGUCCAGUCAACCUAAUGAAUUGAUAAGCACAAACCAGUGAGAGACCCUGUCUCACAAAGCAAGGUAGGUAUGGGGAGAUGGCUCAGUGUUUAAGAGCACUUACUGCUUUUGCAGAGGACACAAUGGAUAACAUGAAAAGGCAAUUUAGAAAACAAUACCAUUUAUUAGCAUGCCAAAAGAAUAAAAUAUUUAUAAAUAAACAUAACCAAGGAGGUGAAAACAGGUGUAUCAAAAACUUUAAAAUAUAAAUACAUUUUAAAACAGGAGGAUGUGGGGAUGUCUUAAAGUACUUGUUAAAGUGCUAGGGUUGACCCCUAGCACCCACAUGGUCCCAGGGGAUCCAGUGCUUUCUUCUCACCCUCAUGGAUACCAAAUGCACACAUGGUACACAUGCAUACAUUCAGAAAAACACUCAAAUAUAAAAUAAAAUAAAUAAAUCUAAGUU
ensembl:lncRNA